UACGAAGGGGGCUAGCGUUGUUCGGAAUUACUGGGCGUAAAGCGCGCGCAGGCGGCUAUCCAAGUCAGUGGUGAAAGCCCGGAGCUCAACUCCGGAACUGCCAUUGAAACUGUUAGCUUGAGGAUGAGAGAGGUGAGUGGAAUUCCCAGUGUAGAGGUGAAAUUCGUAGAUAUUGGGAAGAACACCGGUGGCGAAGGUGGCUCACUGGCUCAUUACUGACGCUCAGGCGCGAUAGCGUGGGGAUCAAACAGG
rnacentral:rRNA from 1 species